UCCCAAGUUCACCCCCUUGUUGGGGCGCCAGGCGGCUCCGAGAUAACCUUCGUCGGAGGAGCUGUGAGCGGCUUCCAGUUGCGUGAGGGAGUUGCCCCCAGUAAACCCGCCCAGAGGCUGCCAGAGCUGGAGGAGGACGCGGCAUUCGGGAACGAGCACGCACGCAGGCAGACUCCUCCAGGGGGCUGCGGUGAUAUCAGCAAAAGAAAGCUGGCUGGCUUUUGCGCAGGCAGCAUGCGGCCUUGAAUAAACCUUUAAGGUGCGGUUUGCAGCUUUGUGUUGGGCCCCGGAGGAAGAAAACAAGAUAUGAUCUUCCUGAUAGCAGCUGUUAUUAGUUUAUGUUGGAAAAGAAAGAAAAAAUUAAGACUCUUGUUCAGAGGUUAUAAUAAAUCAAUGUUGUUGGUGCCUAUAAGCUUUUCAGUUUUAGUUAAGGUAUCACCUAAAUCAUGUUAAUAUUGCUUAAAGCAGUGUUUUGGAUACAAAAUGAAUAUGACAAAUAUUUAUGUACUACUUUUCAACAAAAGUUCCUAAAGCAGUUUACACUGUUAUAAACAAAAUGUCUCCCUGUCCCCAAAGGACCCACAGUUUUAAAAAGACACAAGAUAGAUACCAGCAACAACCACUGGAAGGAUGCUGUGCUGGGGAUGGAUAGGGCCAGUUGCUCUCCCUCUGCUUAAUAAAUGAUAUUUUCUGUUGUUAAGGGAAUACCCUUGAAUCAACCCAGCCUGCAGCAAAAAAGGGAACUUGACAGAAAGCAGGUGGCCUGUGCAGCUUAAGGAUGGGAUUGCUGCUGAUUUGUUUGUACAGUCAAUCAGCGAGGAGUAUUUCUUAACACUGGCAACAGGAGCCUCUCUUGGAGUGCAGGUUGCAGAAGAGGGCUUACAGAAUUGUCAAGAGUCUGAUUUGGAUUUUUUGUCAGUAUAUUGGGCACUACUUUUAUAAGUGCAGGGUAUCUCCUUGGGGUGCUGAAGAAGUUGCAAUCAUGAAUGUUUUUAUAACCAGAGGAACACAUGCUGUCAGGCACAAAAUGACGCAGAGGGGAAGUAACUUGCCUAGCGGGCAAGAGGUUGCAGGGUUCGAAUCCCUGCCUGUAUGUUUCCCAGACUAUGGGAAACACCUGUAUCAGGCAGCAGCAAUAUAGGGAGAUGCUGAAAAGGCAUCAUCUCAUACUGCGCAGCAGGCGGCAAUGGUAAACCCCUCCUGUAUUCUACCAAAGAAAACCACAGGGCUCUGUGGUCGCCAGGAGUCGACACCAACUUGACAGCACAACUUUGGAGAGGAGAGCUGGUCUUGUGAUAGCAAGCAUGACCACUGUCCGAAACAGUUCUUAUGUGCACUCCCAGCUGACCAUUGUUUAGUUGCAAAGAUCAAGGGAGAAGAAGAGGAGAAUGAUCAGCUGGGAGCCAGGAGCUGGGUAGGACAGCUUUUCAUCCACCUUUGAUAAAAUGCUGGGGACAGUUUGUAGGUUGGCUGCCCCCAUCUUCCCCAGCUCCUGGCUCCCACAUGAUUACUCUCUCCUCCUCCUCCCUUUAUAUUUGCAAACACGCGUUUGCCAAUUGGAAGCACACACGAUUCUCCUACAGUAGCUAGGUGCUUCUCUGAACCUGUUUAGAAUCAUGAGAACAACAGCCCUAAUCUUUCCCAUGGCUGACCUCUCUGCUUCUUACUUAUCUUGCAGCCUCAGCGUUUCCUCUUGAAGCCAAGGUCAGACCCAGAGAAAGACUGAUAUACAAAGUUACACAUAGUCUCUAAUUAGAGGACUUUUCACACAGAUUUUUCAGCCAGAACAAUAAUGGGUAAUAGUCAAUAAAUCAACACUAGCCAAAGGCCCUUUUGACCGCCAAAAUGACAGAGUAUGGCUGUUGGUUUUGUGUAUCUCCAUUCUCCCUUUCUCUCCUUGCUGCUCCCCUCUUUCUCUGCAGUCCUGUUUCUUCCAGAGUUUUCUUACAAUUCCUUCAUCCAUUCUUAGGCACAUAGGAAGCUGCCAUAUACUGCCACGAAAUUUAGGACCGACAAGAGGAAGUACUUUUCCACACAAAGCAUAAUUAAGCUAUGGAAUUAUCUGCCACAGUAUAUGGUGACAGCCACCAGCCUGGAUGUCUUUAAGAAGGGCUUAUAUAAAUUAAUGGGGGACAAGUCUCUCAAUGGCUACUAGUUUGAGGACUAUAGGCCACCUCCAGCCUAAGAGGCAAGAUGCCUCUAAAUACCCGUUUCAGGAGAGCAACAGCAGGGCGCUUUCCAGAUUACACGCUGUUCAGCAGUCGUUUACUUCAGCUGGGCAGGAUCACCUUGAAACCAUUAGAAGGGUAUUGUGCAAAGCCACCAGCAGGGGCAGCAGUCUUUUCUAGCUGGUGUGAACCUCCUACAAUGGGAAAAUACAGCUACUUAUUUACAACAUUGUAGUACUGUAACACAAAGAUCAAACCUGAAAGGCGGCAUUGGAAAUGUGAAUGGCACCUUCUGAUAGUGCUGGGACUGCACUGUCGAAACACAGGCAGUACGGAAGUACACUUAACAGACACACAGUGACACUGUGGUAGGUGUAAUCUGGAAAGCUCCCAGGAGAGAGGGCAUGCCCUCAUCUCUUGCCUGUGUCUUCCCAGAGGCAUCUGAUGGGCCACUCUGCGAAACAGGAUGCUGGACUAGAUAUGCCUUGUGCCUGAUCCAGCAGGGCUGUUCUUAUGUUGUUAUGAAACCUUGGAGAAGCCACUGCCAGUCAGUGUAGAUAAUACUGGGCUAGAUGGUUCAAUGGUCUGACUCAGUAGAAGGCAGCUUCCUGUGUUGAUCUGCUACUGUGUGCAAGACAUUUUGAAGGGAUUAACAUUGUGCUGCUCAUCCUGGAGCAGAGAGGGACCAUUUUAAUUCUCCCAGCAGAAUGCAUCACCCUCCCAAAUACAGGAUCAUUUCGGAGCCUGUCUACACACUCUUUGGCCCUGAGAGUAUGAGAAUAAUGUGCAUUUCUUAAGAUCUGAUGAAUCCUUAACAUUUGUAAAUUUGUAAUAAUAAUAAUUUUUUUAAAAAAACACCCAACCCUAAGCAUCAAGCAUUUGCCUGCAAAGGUAACUGCAAAUUAAGUAUCUGAGGAUUUGCCAUGAUAAAUCUAAUAAAAUGCUGUUGCAAGAGAGAGCUCUUUGUUAGCAUGCAGGAGGAGGAGGAAUCUGAGGUAAUUUUAGGAUUAUCUCAUUUUUCUUUUAUUAGAACAGGCUUUUAAAAGUCAGAACCACCCUAUGAAUCCAACACUUGGUACACUACCAGGAUGUCUGCAUAUAGCCCACACAAAAUCAAUGUUGUGAUGUAAUAUGAAUGGAAUGGGAUGAAAUAGUCUAAUUCAAUAAAAUCACAAAGGCA